rnacentral:rRNA from 1 species
GACGAACGCUGGCGGCGUGCUUAACACAUGCAAGUCGAACGGUGAAGCGCUUUCCUUUUUGGUUGGUGUGGAUGAGUGGCGAACGGGUGAGUAACACGUGAGUAACCUGCCCCCUUCUUCUGGAUAACCGCAUGAAAGUGUGGCUAAUACGGGAUAUUCUGCGCCUGCUGCAUGGUGGGUGUGGGAAAGAUUGUGCCUUUGGGUGUUUUCGGUGGGGGAUGGGCUCGCGGCCUAUCAGCUUGUUGGUGGGGUGAUGGCCUACCAAGGCGGUGACGGGUAGCCGGCCUGAGAGGGUGGACGGUCACACUGGGACUGAGACACGGCCCAGACUCCUACGGGAGGCAGCAGUGGGGAAUAUUGCACAAUGGGCGCAAGCCUGAUGCAGCGACGCCGCGUGAGGGAUGGAGGCCUUCGGGUUGUGAACCUCUUUCGCCAGUGAAGCAGGCCUGCCCCUUGUGGGUGGGUUGACGGUAGCUGGAUAAGAAGCGCCGGCUAACUACGUG